AUGCAUGCUCUACAACUGAUCGCUGCCCGCACCUGCCCGCCCAUCCAGCAUCACUACUCUGGACGUUCUGACUUCGAAUAUGUGGACAACUACAAAUACCUAGGUGUUUGGUUAGACUGUACACUCUCCUACCAGACUCACAUUAAGCAUCUCCAAUCCAAAAUUAAAUCUAGAAUCGGCUUCCUAUUUCACAACAAAGCAUCCUUCACUCAUGCUGCCAAACAUAUCCUCGUAAAACUGACCAUCCUACCGUUCCUCGACUUUGGCGUUGUCAUUUACAAAAUAGCCUUCAACACUCUAUUCAACAAAUUGGAUGCAGUCUAUCACAGUGCCAUCCGUUUUGUCACCAAAGCCCCAUAUACUACCCACCACUGCGACCUGUACACUCUCGUUGGCUGGCCCUCACUUCAUACUCGUCGCCAAACCCAUUGGCUCCAGGUUAUCUACAAGUCUUUACUAGGUAAAGCCCGGCCUUAUCUCAGCUCACUGGUCACCAUAGCAGCACCCAUCCGUAGCACGUGCUCCAGCAGGUAUAUUUCACUGGUCACCCCCAAAGCCAAUUUCUCCUUUGGCCACCUUUCCUUCCAGUUCUCUGCUGCCAAUGACUGGAACGAACUACAAAAAUCACUGAAGCUAGAGGCUCAUAUCUCCCUCCCCAACUUUAAGCAUCAGCUGUCAGAGCAGCUCACAGAUCACUGCACCUGUACAUCUGUAAAUAGCCCAUCCAACUGCCUCAUCACCAUACUGUAUUUAUUUAUUAAUCUUGCUCUUUUGCACCCCAGUAUCUCUACUUGCACAUUCAUCUUCUGCACAUCUACCAUUCCAGUGUUUAUUUGCCAUAUUGUAACUACUUCGCCACCAUGGCCUAUUUAUUGCCUUACCUCCCUUAUCUUACCUCAUUUGCACACACUGUAUAUAGACUUUUUCUACUGUAUGUUUGUUUAUUCCAUGUGUAACUCUGUGUUGUUGUAUGUGUCGAACUGCUUUGCUUUAUCUUGGCCAGGUCGCAGUUGUAAAUGA
rnacentral:lncRNA from 13 species